rnacentral:lncRNA from 1 species
AGUUCCACAAAGCUUUGUUGUCUAUUUGAGCUUCAUAGAAUUUAAGGAUCAAAGAAGACUACCAGACGCAGGACAUCCUAAUCGCUGUCAGGGUGCUGCCGACAUUCAAAUACACCUCCGCCACCUGGUAGCUACAUCAGAUGAAAUUACGUCAAAAUCCAGCUUGGGGGAGAGCACCCCCAUUUAUCUAGGUAAGUGUUUCUACUCGCGUUUAUACUUUACUCAAAUAAUAAAAAGAUGCAUAAUCAUAAAAACCCAAAUAAUGAUUUUAUGCUUAUAUAUAUCUUUGUUUAGUUUGCUAAAUAAAUAAAUAAAUAAAGUUUGCUAUGAACCCUCAUGAUAAGCUCUCACAUGGAAAUAAUGAAUAGUUGCUCUGCCAUGCCUAGUUCUUAAAAUUGAAAUCUCUCUCAAGUUUAGGCAUGACUAUUAUGAAUUAAGAUUUUCUCUAAACCUGAACUUGUGGGAAGAGUACUUGAUCUAAAGUCUAAGUCGUUAACGGAUAUGAUAUGGGAAGGUUGAGUUGCUGUUUAUCUGUUCCUAGAGAUGCUAGAAUUCUGGAGAAUUUUCUCUUUGGAAAUCUUUAAAAUGUUGCAUGAUGAGUUCCUGUAUGGUCAGAGUUUAAAAUCCUACCACAGCCACAUGUACAUGCUUAUUAGACUAUGAACCAUACAUUUACUUUUUACUGCUUAUGAGCAUUAAUUGUGGUCAAGCUGUGUAGACCCUUAGGAGCUUGUCAUGCAGUUAAAGUCAAGAUUCACUUACACGUUCACUCAUACAUGCUGCUUCUACUCUGGAAGUACGCAUCCACAUACAUCCACUUAUUUCCCUCUCCAGAUUCACCCAAAAUUAUUCUACUCCAAUCCGGGAGAGAAUAGCCAAAAACAUUAUCCCAUUCAUGUUUUCCCUGUAAAAUAAAUGCUCGAGAUAUUUUGGUUACUACCACUUGCUACAUUAUUCCAGGAGGGUGAGUGCUCUAAAAAAAGGAGAGAGAUGAAAAAAGAAAAAAAUACGAGGAAAUAAAAGGGGCAAGUGCCUGGAACCUCGAAGAAAAGAAAAAGUGAGACGAGAGGUAAAAAUGGACAAGUGUCUGACAGUAGAAUUAGGGGUACAAGAUACCCACCUGAGAGAAAAGAAAAAGAAAAGAUAGAGCAUCUCAUUCCCCUCAAAAAGCUUCAAAGUGCAAGAAAGGUAUGUAUCCCCGCAAAAGAGUAGACGUAGAAUUAGACUUUCACCAUUGUUUUCACCAUUUUCACCAUCAUCACCCUACACCAUUCAUUCGCCACACAUGCACAUCUUGAUUUGUCUUAUUGAUUUGUUCUUCUGGAUCCAUGGUUUGACUAUGCAAUAAAUGUCAUGUAAGUAUGUAUACUUUAUCUCCCACCUAUGAGCUCUAGAUAUCAAAGCCUUAUUAGAGUAGGUUGAGAGAGAAGGCAAUAUUACUAUGCCUCAUACCACAAAUACCACAUACUUUGAGAGAAGGCAUAUACCAUCACUGCCUUGGUAAGGAUGCAGAAAUACCACAAAAGAGAGAAUUGAGAGAGUCAUACAAGGAAUCUCUGAGUUUUGUUUUGAAAAUAUGCAAAAACUCCAGAGCCAUAGUUGAUCAAAGAACAAGAGACAUGGUGCUUGACUUGACCAUUCUAUCUUUUAACUGCUCAAGACACAAGUGACAGUUGCAAGCCCCAUGGUGGAAGGUGUUGAUAUUUGGUAACGCCAUCAGGAAUUGAUCCGCAAGCGCACGGAUAUCGGUGAGCAUUUCACCCGGGAGGUUAUCCAGAGUAUCGUAUUUAUAUUUUUACCACUGGGAGAAAGUGUGCAUCUGACUAACCAAAUCUAUUGCUACUACCCGUUAGGCUACAAAGAAAGUGAUUUGAUGAGAAUGAUGUAUAGAGAAGACUACAACCGUAGUCUCGUUCUAACCUUGGUAAGGACGAUCUACUGUUCUAUUGGGGAGGCUCACGGAAUCUAGACACCACAGAGGAUGUUCGACCCGCACCUAUAAACCCUGCUGGUCCUGCUAACGAGAUGUGGGCUGCAAAGGUAACUCGGAAAUGUCACGUUCCUCGCUACUACUACAGUCCAGCUAGUCAGGGGAUAUCUAUGAGUACCCUAGCCCAAACACCACGUUUACGCUAGCAAUGAUUACUCUAAUACUCAACCGGAAGAGGAUUAAAGUAAACUCAUAAACUAAAGAAUAAUAAAAUAAGAACUUACUAGAAUUUAGAAGUCGAAUUACUGAAGAAUCUUAGAAGCAAGCCUCGGGUUAGGAGAACUUGAUCCCGUAGGUACAACUCGGAGUAGACACCGACAGGCCAGCCUUCCUCCGAUCCACACCUCCACUCUAUCUCUCUCAAUCUAGUAGAAACUAGAAGAUCUAUUUCUACUUUACAUUGGUUGCUAAGCCUAAAAAGAAAUAUUAUAUAGAGAAGAGGUUUUCCUUCUAGGGCACCCCUCAAUCUCUAUGAUAAUUUCUUGUCUCCUCCAGGGGUCAGAGGGGGUCUCCUUAUAUAGUCCUCCCCUUCUAUGCGUUUUUGGGUCGAUAGGCGAGGUGGUACUAUGUUAUUCUGGAUCCAAUAGGUCGGUGGAACGUCGUGUGCGAAGAGAGUCCGGAACGGGGUCCAGAGGUGGGCGGGCGCCCAGGUCCUCAGGGCGGGCGCCCUGGGCCUGGCCCCUUUCGGGCUCCGCUUCCUUCCCGUGGCUUCUGGAGUCUUCUAGAUGGUAGAAAAUUGCGCGGUGGGUUGAUAUCUCUAUGUAAUCCCAACAUGUGGACCUUUCUUCCUUAUUUCCUGAUAACCCCCUGCAGAAAUAGACAAACACCAAAACUCAUGGAAUUCUAUCAGAUAAAACCCUAAGUCUAGAUGUUGAUUUCAUUUGGAUCCUUUUCUUUGUUUAUUUGAUAAUUAAAAUUGAUACUUAAGGACCGUCAACAAACUCCCCCAAGCUUACCUCUUGCUCGUCCCUGAGCAAGGAUGAACUCAAGAGUUCCUGCAGUGGUUUCAUUUCUUAGAAGUACACACGCAUUUAAGCAAGAUCUCAUCUCUGAGUUAGAAUAAACUGUUAAGACUUAAAACUUACUUACUUUACCUACACCAUAGGACUUGUAACCGUCACUUCUGUCUUGAGUGGUUAAAAGAUAGAACAGUCUAGCCAAGUGCCAUGUCUCUUAUUCUUGAUCAGCUAUAGCUCUGGGGUUUUUGCAGAUUUUCAAAUGAAACUCAGAAAUUCCUUGUAUGAUUCUCUCAGGUCUCUCUUUUGUGGUAUUUUUGGAUCCUUUCCAAGGCAGUGAUGGUAUAUGCCUUCUCUCAAGAUAUGUAGUAUUUGUGGUAUGAAGUAUAGUGACAUUGUCUUCUCUCUCACCCUACUCUAAUAAGGCUUUAAUAUCUGGAGCUCAUAGGUGGGAGAUAAAGUAUACAUACUUACAAGACAUUUAUUGCAUAGUCAAACCAUGGAUCCAAAGAAACAAAUCAAUAAGCCAAAUCAAGAUGUGCAUGUGUGGCGAAUGAAUGGUGUAUGGUGAUGAUGGUGAUAACAAUGGUGGUGGAAGUCUAAUUCUACUUUGCUCUUUGAGGGGAUACAUACCUUCCUUGCUUUUGAAACUUUAUGAGGAGAAUGAGAUGCUCUUCUUUUUCUUUUCUUUUGACGUUCUGAGCACUUGCUCCUUUUUAUUUCCUCGUAUCUUUUAUUUUCUUUUUCUCUUUUUUUUAGAGGAUUCAUCUCUUGAGAUAAUAUAGCAAGUGGUAGUAACAAGAUAACUUGAGCAUUUAUUUCACAAGGGGAAACAAAAAUAUUUUUGGUUAUUCUCUCCCGGAUUAGGAGUAAAAUAUUUUUAGGUGAUUCUGGAGACGGAAAUGAGUGGAUAUAUGUGGAUGGUACUUCCAGAGUAGAAGUAGCAUAUAUGAGUGGACGUGCAAGUGAAAUCUUGAUUUAACCACAUGACAAGCUCCUAAGGGUCUACACAGCUUGACCACACUCAAUGCUCAUAAGCACUAAAUAAUAAAUGUGUGGCUCAAGGUCUAGCAAGCAUGUAUAUAUGGCUGUGGUAGGAAUUUAAACUCUCAUCAUAUAGGAACUCAUCAUGCAACAUUUUAAAAAAUUUCAAAGAUAAAAUUCUCCAGAAUUCUAGCAUCUCUAGGAACAGAUGCAGCUCAACCUUCCCAUAUCGUAUCCGUUAACAACUUAGACUUCAGAUCAAGUUUUCAUCCCACAAGUUUAGGUCUAGAGCAAGCCUUAAAUUAUAACAGUUAUAUCUAAACUUGAGAGAGAACUUCAAAUUUGCAAAUUAGGCAGAGCAACUAUUCAUCAUAUCCAUGCUUAAGUUUUAUUAGAUACAGAUUAGCAUAGCCACUUUAUUUAUUUAUUAAACACACUAAGCAAAAUAUAUAUAAGCAUAAAAUCUUUAUUUGGUUUUUCAUAGUUAUGUGUGUUUAUAUUCUAAUAUAGUAUAAGUAUAAAGAUAGAUAGAAAUACUUAUCGAGAUAAAUGGGGGUGCUCUCCCCCAAGCUGAAUUUUGACGUAAUUUCCCUUGAUGUAGCUAGCAGGUGGCAGAGGUGUGUUUGAAAGUCAGCAGUAUUUUGACAGCGAUUUCUCCGUCUGCUAGUCUUCUUGAUUCUUAAAUUCUGUAGAGCUCAAAUAGACAACAAAGCUUGUGGAACUGAUUAAGUGUUAGCAUAAAUAUCUAGCCUUUGUCAUGUUGAGACUCCUUAAUAAAUAUUACUCCCUGUUUUUAUAUUUUUGUUUUUAUAAAGCAGAAAAAUAUUUAUUUUAUUUUUAUGCCACCACAGUGAAUGUACUUAUGGGUUUUAUGCCACUCGUCUACUCACAUGGGGCUUACAGUUUUUUUCACAUUUUUAUUUUCUUUCUAGGAUAAUACGAACAUGAUUAACUAAGUAAACUAUUUGAAAUAAUCAAAAGGGAAAGGAUAACUACCAAGUUUACCUCUUGGCAAGGCGUUCGGUGUUUUUAAGUCCUCCGAAUGGGACUCUCCAUUUUCUUAAUCGUCCUGAGGUUCGUUGGGUGGCGUAGUCGCUACUUCCGGCAGCGCCUCCUCUUCAUUUAUAGUUAUCUUCAUUUUCCAUACCUGACUCGGUGUUACGGUCUCCUCAGGACAGUUCUGUUCAAGUUGUAUGUCUUCAGUCCUUAUCACUUCUCCUUCGUAGUCUACCCAUCCGUCCUUGAUGAUUUGCCUCCUCUGGUUGCGGUUGCGUUGUCUUCUUCUUAUCCUAACCUGCUUAGAAUCUUCAAAUAUAUAAUCAUUAAAGUAGUGGCGUACCUUUCUCAGAGGGAAAGUGCAUGUGGACUUCUUCGGUUCCAAUAUAGAUAAUGGCUUUGAUAGUGUUUAGGAACGGUCUUCCAAGGAUGGUGGAUGGAUCAUACUCGUCUUCUCCCAUGUCAAUGACCUGAAAAUUGUUUGAAGCUGAAUCUAUCUUGGUUGUAGGGGCAUGGUUCUAUGCAGGAGCUAAUAAGUGACUGCGGCCAUUAUGUUGUCGUCAGAUCUGGUGUCGUAGAGUGUCUUCUAAAAAGAGUAUCCAUUGUUUGUGCAUUCGAUUCUUGGAACACCAGGGUCGUCCUUCUUGAUCAAGAAAGGUGACUUGAGUCGACGAUCUUGACCUCCUUGAGCUGCAGUGACCAUCUUAGCUGACUCGGUCCACAUUUGCUUGUUCCUGUUCCUCCUGUUGGUCCUCUUCCUUGGUUCAUGUCGGGAUUGCUCUGAAGUUUGUGUAGUCUUGUUCUUGAAGGAAAAUCUCCUUCUUCCCCUUGAUGUAGAGACUGAUCUUGGCAGCAUUAGCGUAGAUGACAAUUCUGGUGUUUAGGAAUGGCCUCCCUAAGAUGAUGGGUGCCCUCUCCUCAGUCCCAGUCUCUAUCACCACGAAGUUUGCUGGAGUGUACAAGGUACCAACUCGGACACAGAGGUUCUUCAAUAUUCCUUUGGGAAACUAAGUGUCUGAUCUCCAUUGUGUUUGUGCUCGUAGAUCCCGGUUCUUCACUUGAUGGAAUCUGGGAGUUGUAAAACGCCUUCACGUUUCUCAAAAUGUGUCCUGCUCAUAGAGACAAGGCAGAGAUCAAGUGCAUGGGCCCUGUUGGUGGAAAACACUAACAAAACCAAAAGUGUAUUUGUUCUUCUCUAACCUUAAGCAUAGUGAGCAAGACAAAGUUGAUGGAUCAUGAGUGUAGCAUUUAAAACAUUUGUUAGAUCAGAUGGCUCAACCUAAUGGAAAGAUAAUCUAUCUAUAUUUAUGUUUUGUUUAUAUCUUCCAAAGAUUGAAUGUGCAACACUUUAGCUUAUAUGAUUAGGAGUGUGGGAUCACGAAGGUAGUACUAAGAACAAAGAUUAAAGGACUAAUCAUGUUGAAUUAAUUGGGUUGAUUAAUUUGGAGCUACAAAUCAUACAUGUUUGUCUCUUUAUUUAUGUGAAUGCUAGAACCAAGGAGAAGCUUAUAAAAGUCAUAGUCAAGUACCUUAAAAUGUUACCUUACUUGAAGAGUGACGGUACAGUAUCACCAUGUGGAAGCUUUCCUUUUCUUAGCGGUUGUGCAUCGUGUUUGUGGCACCCUCCAGGGAUCAUCUCUUUAUGAUGAAUGAGCUAUGUCCUUCUUGUGUAAAUUGUUAAACUUCAUGUGUCUCCUUUAUCGCCAAUGAGUUUGUAUCUCAGGACUUCCCAGGUUGAUAUUGAAAGUUUUCCUGCAGGGGUUAGUCCAACAAAAUAUCCCAUAUCUACUAUAGCAUACUAUCGGCUCAAAAAUCAACCUAGACACCAUGUCUAAUUUGAUUUAGGAGGGCAUUUUAACCUAAGCACCAUGCUUAAUUUAAAAAAAUCCUUUGGAAGUAAGAUCAUCAUUCCUAAACUAAGCACCAUGCUUGAUUUAAGAGAUAAAUGAAACUACUCCAAACAUAGACAUAUACUAAAGCAAAUAAAGGUAGCAUGAGAGCAUUUAUAGCGAUCUACUCAAGUGAAGGUGAAGUAGUGUAAUUAGUACUUAACAAAUUGAGCAUCUCUCAAAGGUAGGGACAACCAACGUAGCAACAUGGCAAAGGAUGUUUUUAUGUAAAGUACUCCCCCAAGCUUGAAUUUUGUAAAAUUCAAGUUUGGAUGAAUUUAAUUCAAUGUUGUGUGAUGGUUGGUUGGACAUACCUUGUGCUUGUCAUUCAUCCGAUCUUCUUACUCCAAUCCUGGAAAGGUUAGUGACAAGAAUACCCGAAGGAAUAUUUCUACAAUAUGCUCAAUACACAAGGCAAUGUUGCAAAUAAUUAGAAGUUCAUGUUAUGAUCUCUGAUAAGUGCUUGUUUUAGGACGCUAAGCUUAUCCUUGGGAAACCAUCAAGUUAUGUUUGUGAAGUGGUUUCCCCUCCAACACCAACCUAUAUCAAGAUCAACUCAACGAGAUCUGCAAUAUUUAUUAUAGACAUAUGCAUCGACAACCGCCCUUUUAAAGUUUUUAUAAAUAGAAAGGAAGAGAGGAUUGGAGAUCUCAAAUAUGGUAAGGAUGGAGAGAUAAAUUGAUUGGAGAGAUGUUUUAUAUGAGCAAGGACUGGGUGAGGUAUUUAUGAAAUAACUUCCAUGCUCACUGUUGUUUCUCUCAUUCUCAAACUCCAAGGAUGAUUCUUCAUGAAUGCUUAAAAUUCCUCUAGGAUUGUCUCUCAAGUUUGUUUUAUCUAUCCAUUCAAUGGUGAUAGCACAUGGAUUUUUAAUGCCCUCUAGCCAUUGAUGUUGCUCUUCUCGAUCCUCCUUAUACAGGGGAUGUCUAGAGAAAUUCAUAGGAUUAUCGGGAGGUUUAAGAGAAAGAGCAUAGUAGAAUUUAUUAAGCUCAAGGAUGGGAUGGAUAGCCGAAUCAUGGGAUUGAAAUGUUUGGAAAUCAGCUAUUGAAACUUCCUUUCCUCGUCUGGGAGAUGAUUCCUUCUCUAUUUCUAAGAUUUUUCUAUGAAGACUAGUACAAGAAGGAUGUCCACAAGUGAAGACAUACCUUCCUUUACUAAUAGAUAAAGAAAGAAGGACUCUACCAAAGGUUAUAUGAUUAAGACCAAUGUGAAAAUAUCUAGGAAAAACAUGGUCUUGUAGGGCUAGGUCUAAACCAGAAUUUAUAGAAAGAUUAAUAGAUUCCCUAGGUGUAGCUAAAAGUGCAUUAUCUUUUUGAUUAAAAGAUAGGACCUCAGCUAUAGAAAAGGGUUGGUUUUGACCUAUUGCAAUCAACUCCGGACACAGAUCAUAAUUAGGGGCAGGACGUGUUGACUCCCAUGGUCUAUGGCUGGUCUCCGAAGGUGCAAAGAAUUCAAUAAUAGGUAUGGAAUUUGAGUUAUCCAUAAAGAUUAAAAUAAAAAGAUAAAAGAAUAAAAGUAUAAAGGUAUAAUACAAGAUAAUAGCAAGACUCAAAGUUAUCUCAGCAAACCGUCUUUCUCCCCGGCAACGGCGCCAGAAAUGCUUGUUGAUAUUUGGUAACGCAAUUAGAAAAUGAUCCGCAAGCGCACGGAUAUCGGUGAGCAUUUCACCCGGGAGGUUAUCCAGAGUAUCGUAUUUAUAUUUUUACCACUGGGAGAAAGGGUGCAUCUGACUAACCAAAUCUAUUGCUACUAUCCAUUUAGCCUACAAAGAAUGUCUCUCGAUGUGAGUGAUGUAUAGAGAAGACUGCAACCGUAGUCUCGUUCUAACCUUGGUAAGGAUGAUCUAUUGUUCUAUUGGGGAGGCUCACGGAAUCUAGACAACACAAAGGAUGUUCGACCCGCACCUAUAAACCUACCCGUCCUGCUAACGAGAUGUGAUCUGCAAAGGUAACUCGGAAAUGUCACGUUCCUCGCUACUACCACGGUCCAGCUAGUCAGGGGAUAUCUAUGAGUACCCUAGCCUAAACACCACGUUUACGCUAGCAAGUGAUUACUCUAAUACUCAACCGGAAGAGGAUUAAAGUAAACUCAUAAACCAAAGAACAAUAAAACAAGAACUUACUAGUAUGAGAAGUCGAAUUACUGAAGAAUCUUAGAAGCAAGCCUCGGGUUUGAAGACUUGAUCCCGUAGGUACAACUCGGAGUAGACACCGACAGGCCGGCCUUCCUCCGAUCCACACCUCCACUCUAUCUCUCUCAAUCUAGUAGAAACUAGAAGAUCUAUUUCUACUUUACAUUUGUUGCUAAGCCUAAAAAGAAAUAUUAUUUAGAGAAGAGGUUUUCCUUCGAGGGCACCCCUCAAUCUCUAUGAUAAUUUCUUGUCUCCUCCAGGGGUCAGAGGGGGUCUCCUUAUAUAGUCCUCCCAUUCUAUGCGUUUUUAGGUCGAUAGGCGAGGUGGUACUAUGUUAUUCUGGACCCAAUAGGUCGGUGGAACGUCGUGUGCGAAGAGAGUCCGGAACGGGGUCUAGAGGUGGGCGGGCGCCCAGGUCCUCAGGGCGGGCGCCCUGGGCCUGGCCCCUUUCGGGCUCCGCUUCCUUCCCGUGGCUUCUGGAGUCUUCUAGAUGGUAGAAAAUUGCGCGGUGGGUUGAUAUCUCUAUGUAAUCCCGACAUGUGGGCCUUUCUUCCUUAUUUCCUGAUAACCCCCUGCAGAAAUAGAC